rnacentral:rRNA from 1 species
CAGUCGAACGGUAAGGCCCCAGCUUGCUGGGGUACACGAGUGGCGAACGGGUGAGUAACACGUGGGUGACCUGCCCCGCACUUCGGGAUAAGCCUGGGAAACUGGGUCUAAUACCGGAUAGGACCGCACCGUGAGGGUGUGGUGGAAAGUUUUUCGGUGUGGGAUGGGCCCGCGGCCUAUCAGCUUGUUGGUGGGGUAAUGGCCUACCAAGGCGGCGACGGGUAGCCGGCCUGAGAGGGUGGACGGCCACAUUGGGACUGAGACACGGCCCAGACUCCUACGGGAGGCAGCAGUGGGGAAUAUUGCACAAUGGGCGGAAGCCUGAUGCAGCGACGCCGCGUGGGGGAUGACGGCCUUCGGGUUGUAAACUCCUUUCACCAUCGACGAAGGUUUUCUGACGGUAGAUGGAGAAGAAGCACCGGCUAACUACGUGCCAGCAGCCGCGGUAAUACGUAGGGUGCGAGCGUUGUCCGGAAUUACUGGGCGUAAAGAGCUCGUAGGUGGUUUGUCGCGUCGUCUGUGAAAUUCCGGGGCUUAACUCCGGGCGUGCAGGCGAUACGGGCAUAACUUGAGUACUGUAGGGGAGACUGGAAUUCCUGGUGUAGCGGUGAAAUGCGCAGAUAUCAGGAGGAACACCGGUGGCGAAGGCGGGUCUCUGGGCAGUAACUGACGCUGAGGAGCGAAAGCAUGGGUAGCGAACAGGAUUAGAUACCCUGGUAGUCCAUGCCGUAAACGGUGGGCGCUAGGUGUAGGGGUCUUCCACGACUUCUGUGCCGUAGCUAACGCAUUAAGCGCCCCGCCUGGGGAGUACGGCCGCAAGGCUAAAACUCAAGGAAUUGACGGGG